rnacentral:rRNA from 1 species
UACGAAGGGGGCUAGCGUUGUUCGGAAUCACUGGGCGUAAAGGGCGCGUAGGCGGCCGAUCAAGUCGGGGGUGAAAGCCUGUGGCUCAACCACAGAAUUGCCUUCGAUACUGGUUGGCUUGAGACCGGAAGAGGUAAGUGGAACUGCGAGUGUAGAGGUGAAAUUCGUAGAUAUUCGCAAGAACAUCAGUGGCGAAGGCGGCUUACUGGUCCGGUUCUGACGCUGAGGCGCGAAAGCGUGGGGAGCAAACAGG